CACGUAGGGGGGCAAGCGUUGUCCGGAUUCAUUGGGCGUAAAGAGCUCGUAGGCGGUUCGAUAAGUCGGGUGUGAAACCUCCAGGCUCAACCUGGAGACGCCACCCGAUACUGUCGUGACUAGAGUCCAGUAGGGGAGCGUGGAAUUCCUGGUGUAGCGGUGAAAUGCGCAGAUAUCAGGAGGAACACCAGCGGCGAAGGCGGCGCUCUGGGCUGGCACUGACGCUGAGGAGCGAAAGCGUGGGGAGCGAA
rnacentral:rRNA from 1 species